rnacentral:lncRNA from 1 species
AUAUUGACAAUUAGGUCCUCCGACGAUUCAAUAAUCGCGAUCUAGCUAUUCGAUCAAUCACAACCUCUUAUAUGUGUGACCCCAUAGGUUCUAUUCUAUCUGGUAGUGAGAUAUAUUUUGAUCACUAUCAACAAUAUCAUGAAACUCCUUUCAGUGGAUCGGUACAAUUCCAACUCAGCCCAAUGAGAAUUAUCGAUCAUCUAGUUAAUUCUCAUGAGUCUCACAAUCUACCAGUGACGCCUAGCAGCAUAUAGUGGCAUUCCAGUAGAAUAGAAUACUGAACCUCUUAGUGCAGUUACCGUGUGAUACAAUCCUUCUAUCAUGAGUCCCGGCUAGACGGAGGUUAUGGAAUAACUCGUCAAAUCUCAUCGUCUGUCAUAUGUCAAAUUUAUUCGACUCGAGUUUCUAAUAUCGGAAACUCUUUUUCCGCUAUUAACUCUGCCCUGACCAAGGUCUUCUAAACUCGGUCUCAUAAAUCAUAUAGGACUAACACCCCUAUCUACCAAGGGAGAUAGAUUCUAUAUAAGUGCACACUCUAUUCCUACAAUGAACCUACAGCAGUCAACAAGCACCGCACGGACCCGAAUGGUUACGGACAAAGUGUAUGUAUAGUCAAACUACAGUAACCUCAUUGGUGAUAACCGAGGGACCGCAGGUCAAAGGACCAGUCACACUACUGCAAUAUUGAGUAAGUCACUAACGAGUAAGUAGACAUCUAAGUGACUUCUCGUGUUGGUCACGCUCGGACCCUUGUUCUCUAACAACUAUCUGCAUAUUCGCUUCAGUGUCCCUACACUGUCGACUCGAGACUCGUCUACCUAAAAAGGGAAGCGACCUAUGGACCAAUCUCACUGGAUCAAUCAUCAUCCCCAUGAUGAUCCAUUGAUCGGGAGCAUUCAGGAAUUAACCACCAAUGACACGUCUCAAAUUCUCAAUACUUGAGAAUAUAUGUUAUCAUCUUAUUAAUUCCUUGGACACAUACACAACAUGAAUGAAAAUAUAUGUGUCGGCCUGGCUGGCUUCUAGGGCAUACAUCUAACAAUCUUCCACUUGCACUAAAGCCAAUCAGCCAUAUACCUAAGCCCCAUCUACUCAAGAUGGACUUCAGUCUUCUGCUGGCUAAGUGGUUUAGUCAAUGGGUCUGCCACGUUAUCCGUGGAGUCUACUCUCUGCAUUUCGAUGUAUUUCUUGUCGAGGUAGUCGUGUAUAAUAUGAAACCGCCGCUCUAUAUGCUUGGACCUCUGAUGAGACCUGGGCUCCUUAGCUAGGGCUAUGGCACCAUUGUUGUCGCAAUAUAGUGGUAUGGCAUCCGAUGGCAUCACACCUAGUUCUGCGACAAAUUUUUUGAACCAGAAGGCUUCCUUUGCAGCUUCAGAUGCAGCGAUAUACUCUGCUUCCAUAGUAGAGUCAGCAAUAAUUGGUUGUUUGGAACUCUUCCAAUACACAGAGCCACCAUUGCAUAAGAACACACAUCCUGACGUAGACUUUCUAUCGUCAACAUCAGACAUAAAGUCUGAAUCAGUAUAUCCUUGUAAUUUCAACUCUCCUCCUCCAAAGACCAAGAACAUAUUCUUAGUCCUUCUCAAGUAUUUGAGUAUGUUCUUCACAGCAAUCCAGUGCUCCUCACCUGGAUUAGAUUGAUAUCUACUUGUGACACUCACAGCAAGCGCGAUAUCAGGUCGUGUACAUAGUAUGGCGUACAUAAAACUCCCUAUAGCUGAUGCAUAAGGGAUCUUACUCAUACGUUGAAUCUCUUCAAAUUUAUUGGGGCACAUUUUCUUACAGAGAUAAAUUCCAUGUCUAAGAGGUGAAAGUCCCUUUUUGGAGUUUUCCAUGCCGAACCUCUUCAGCACCUCUUCUAUGUACAUUUUCUGUGAGAGGCCUAGCAUCCUUUUAGAUCUAUCUCUAUAGACCUUUAUCCCCAAAAUAUAGGAUGCUUCCCCUAGAUCUUUCAUGGAGAAUUCUUUAGACAACCAUAUUUUAACUGAAGUCAGCAUUGGAAUGUCAUUCCCAAUUAGGAGAAUGUCAUCCACGUACAAUACGAGGAAUGUGACAGCUCUCCCACUGACUUUCUUAUAAACACAUGGUUCCUCCUCAUUCUUAACGAAAUCAAACGAUUUAAUCACGUUAUCGAAACGAGUAUUCCAAGUUUGAGAUGCUUGCUUAAGUCCAUAAAUGGACCGUUGCAACUUGUAUACUUUGUGACUUUCGUCACUGGAAGUGAAACCCAAAGGCUGCUCCAUAUAGAUAUCUUCCUCAAGAUAUCCAUUUAGGAAGGCAGUUUUCACAUCCAUUUGCCAGAUCUCAUAAUCAUAGUAUGCUGCAAGGGCAAGCAGUGUUCGAAUGGAUUUGAGCAUGGCCACAGGUGAAAAGGUCUCCUGAUAGUCAAUGCCUUCGCGUUGACUAUAACCUUUUGCAACCAGCCUUGCUUUAUAGGUCUCUACCUUUCCAUCCAAACCUAUCUUUCUUUUGUAGAUCCAUUUACACCCGAAAUCCAAACCUAGUUGGAAUGCAUUGAGUCAAUUUCUGACUUUAUGGCAUCCAGCCAUUUCUCGAAAUCGAUGUCAGACAUCGCCUCGUUGUAGGUUUUGGGAUCAUCUCCAUAUUCCCUAUCUCCCAUAAGGAACAUUUCCUCUACUUCCUCUGUAAUGAUACCUAAGUAUCUUUUAGUGGGAUGAGAGAUUCUACUCAACCUACGAGGUGGAGGAGGUACUACAUGUACUGGCUCAGCUUGAAUAGGUUCUGUAAGUUUGAUGACUCGUUGCUCUUCAGAGACUUUCUCUUCGAGCUCAAUUUUUCUCCCACUAGCUUCUUGAAUAAACUGUUUUUCCAAGAAAAUAGCAUGUUUGCUCAUAACUAUAUUGUGAUUCUCUGGGAUAUAAAAAUAGUAACCUAAAGUUUCUUUAGGAUAUCCAAUAAAGCGAGCCCUCUCAGACCUAACCUCUAACUUGUCCGCCUGUAGUCGCUUAACAUGAGCCGGACACCCCCAAAUCUUGAUAUGACCAAGACUUGGUUUCUUACCAUGCCACAUCUCAUACAGCGUGGUAGGAACGGAUUUAGAGGGAACCCUAUUUAACAAAUAAGCUGCGGUAAGUAAAGCAUGUCCCCAAAGAAAUAAACGAAGAUCAGUGAAGCUCAUCAUAGAUCGAACCAUAUCCAAUAAGGUUCGGUUUCUUCGUUCUGACACCCCGUUGAGAAGAGGUGUUCCCGGAGGAGUCCACUGUGAGACUGUGCCGGUUUUCUUGAGAUAAUUUAGGAACUCUCCACUAAGGUAUUCUCCUUCUCGAUCUGAUCGAAGAACCUUGAUGGAUUUUUCAGUUUGUUUUUCUAUUUCACAUCUGAAUUCUUUGAACUUUUCAAAAGCCUCAGAUUUGUGUUUCAUAAGAUACACAUACCCAUACCGUGAAUAAUCAUCGAUAAAGGUUAUGAAGUAGAGAUAACCACCCCUAGCAUGCACAUCAAAUGGCCCACACACAUCAGUGUGUAUCAAGAAAAGUAUCUCAGUGGCCCUUUCCCCUUGUCCUACAAAGGGUAGUUUAGUCAAUUUUCCUUGAAGACAAGAUUCACAAACUGGAUAAGACUCUGAAGUCAAUGAGCUGAGAAGCCCAUCUUUAUCCAAUUUAUUUAUCCUUUCUUCUCCAAUAUGACCAAGCCUGAGGUGCCACAUAUACUUUAGGUUCAUCUCAUCUCUAGGUCUCUUAGACCGAACAGCAGUCUCUACUUGCUCAGAAAUAUUUGCAGAUACAUCCAUAUGUAAAUGAUAAAGACUGUCAAUCAUAAAACUACGAUCAAUAAUAUUAUUUCUAAAAUAAAUUAAGCAGUAGUCUUUGUCAAAAUUAAAAUUAUAACCGUCCUGUACUAAAGAAGAAACAGAAAUCAAAUUCCUACUAGCAGCAGGUACAUAAUAACAGUCUUUAAGUAAUAAAACAUAUCCUGAUGGUAGUCGCAAAGGAUAGGUGCCAGCAGCCACAACAGCAACUAUUGCCACGUUGCCCACUCGUAGGGUCACUUCACCUUCCCUAAGCCCUCUACUUUCCCUUAGACCCUGCAUUGAAGUACACAGAUGAGAACUAGAACCAGAGUCUAUAACCCAACUAGAAGUAGAGGAAACCGUAAGGUUAGUUUCUAUUACGAGCAAGUCUGACAUACCUUCCGAAGGUGUGUCGUUCCUUUUAUUCUUCAAGCUCUCCAAGUAGACAGGACAAUUUCUCUUCCAAUGACCGUCAACGUUGCAAUGGAAACAUUUUCCUUUGUCAGCGGCCUUAUUCUUAGAAGCUUCCUUCUUGGGCUUAUUUUUCGUCUUUUGUUUCUUCGCGGGUUGCUUCUUCCAAUUAGACUUUCUUUUGGAAGAAGAAGCUCGCUCCACAGCGAGAAUCGAGCCCUUUGAACUUUUCAAAGUCCCGUCUGUAGUUACCAACAUGUUCAAUAACUCUGCGUUGGUGCAAUCAAUUUUAUUCAUAUGGUAGUUUACAAUAAACUGUCCAUAUGAUACAGGAAGGGAUUGCAGGAUCAGAUCAACUUGCAAUUCCUUGUCCAUUUUGACGCCAAGCUUCUCAAACUCCUCGAGGUCUUUGAUCAUUAUCAAACAGUGAUCAUGAAUAGACUGCCCAUCGUGCAUCUUGGCUUUAAAGAGUCUUUUAGACACUUCAAAACGAGCAGAUCGGGUUUGCUCACCAUACAACUCCUUGAGGUGAGUUAGCAUUUCCUUAGCAGUCUUCAUAUCCUCAUGUUGGCAUUGAAGUUCAUUUGACAUCGACGCCAAAAUAUAGCACCUUACUUUAUUAUCGUCAUCCGUCUAUUUUUCCUGAGCUGUCCUUUGAUUAGCUGUGGGACGGUUUCGUAACGUGGGAGGGUCCUGGUCGAGAACAUAACUGAGCUUUUCGGAACUCAAAACUAUUUUUAAGUUCCUUAGCCAAUCUUUAUAAUUAGUACCAAUUAAACGGUUUGAUUCAAGAAUUCGAGAGAGAGGAUUGGAAGCGGACAUUUUGUUCUGCAGAGAGUAAAGAUUCAAAAUUAGAUAUUUGUAUUUGUUUUGAAAAUUUAUUUUAGGAAUUUUUAAAACAAUAAAUUUAGCCUCCCACUAUUUUCUCAAGUCUCUUACACUCCUCGGGUAGAGAAACGGAAACCCAACGCGACAAAAGGUUUCAAGUGGGUACUACGGUCCCACCAGUUUAACGUACCACCUCACCUAACAGUUAUUGGUGAUAUGCAAACCGAUGAGUGGACAACUCUUGUCCAAUGCUUCUCAAGCAAAUUGCAGUGAUCGAUCUCUGAGUCCUGUAAGCCUCACCUGACAGUUAUUGGCCCCAUUUCUUAGUUAAGUCAGACCCACCGUUCAAACGCGUAAGUAAAGCCGUCAUUGGGUCCCUCACCUGACAGUUAUUGGGCCCAACCCCAUCUUUACUCCGCAGCAUCUCAUGCUAAUAGAGUGGUUGCGAAUUUCCGAUGCAACUGACCACUGUAACCAGCCGUGCCAAUCAACACCAGAAAAGCGCCCGCACUUCUACAACGGCGGAAGAUCGCUCGACUUAAUAUUUAUGAGGAGAUUUAUUUAGGUCUCAAAAAAUAUUUUAUUUAUUUACAUCUAAUGCAAAUAAAAUAAAAAAUCAAUCCGCGCAAACAAACAUAAUUAAACUGUGAUGAUCAUGGAUCUUAGAAGUGGAUUCAGACUUGAGCCACUGAGUCGGAAUCGGGGUCUUAGGGUCAUAAAUUACAAGCACACACACGUCAUUGGUUUGAUUGUCUUCAACUUCUUGAUCCGAUCUGGAGCUUCAACUUGAUUUGAUCCUUAUCAACACCUUGAUCCGACCGCCAUCAAGUAUUCGUCUCUAUCCGGGCCUUGCGAACUUUUAGGCUUGCAACCGAUCAACCAAUGACGUGUAACCAUACAUUAUACAACCCAAUAAAAAGAAUGAAAUAAAAAUUAAUUACAUUUGAUAACUUUUAUUUCUAACCUAUUGAGACACGCAGGUCUCCAAAUAAAUCGGCUUGUGCACGGAGGCACAAAUAUAGCCAUCUCUAAUACAAAAUCCUUAAUUUAAACAAAUUUAAAAUUACAGGAUUCUGCAUACACAUCAUACAUCACAUGUCGAACAAAAAUAAAUAGGUUGCUAUCCAUGAUCAUCACUGUAUCUCACACAUCACAUGCAUAAUAAUAAAUUUUGGCUAUUCUAAUUAACCGUUAACCGAUGAUUCGAAAAAAUAAAUUAUUAAAAAUAAUAAAUCUUAUUGCUUAUUAUAAUUUUGAUCAACAAUUUAAUCUACAAAAAUAACUUCUUGAUCUCAUCAAGUAAUCAAUUUGAUCUAAUCAAAUUAGAUCUACCUAUUCAUUAUCUAAAUCGAUCUAAUAAUAAAAAGAAGAAAAAGAAAAGAAAAGAAAAAAGAAAAAAAAAAUUCAUACUUCCGUACGGACGCUACAGUAGCGUCCGCCUGUAGCGUCCGUACGGACUGCUACAGUAAACCGUACGGACGCUAUAGUAGCGUCCGUACGGAUGCUACAGUAGUUUUUUUUUUUUAUAUUACGAGAAAUCGUCGAUUAAAUUGUUCAAUCAAUUUGAUUUUACGAAUCAUCCAAACAACAAUCUAUAGAUCGUUCGAUCGUCGAAAAACGGUUUAGAAUAUCCAAAUUCAUAAUUUUAAUCUUAAAAACAUGAGGAUGGCUCUGAUACCACUGUUAGAAAAUUGCGUACGGUAAAACGCAGCGGAAAAAGAAAUCAAACAAAUUUGAUUUUUGAAAACUUUCGAGAUCCAAUCUUAAAAUCCACGCAAUUAGGAUCCCUCAUGUUCUUUAAGAUUAAAGAAGAAAAAACAAGAUCGAAUCUUUACCUUUUUCGCGGAUAGAUCUUCCCCUCAAUAUGAUGAUCGUGUAAUUCGGUUCUCUUGAAGCCGCACACGCGUCCGACCUCUAUAGGUAUCCACACGAGGUUCUAUAUGUCCUCACCGGGGUGCUAGCUUCCUUGCAAAAGGACGUCUUUCUUGCUAGAAGAUGGAAGAGAGAAGAGAGGAUGGAUUACAGCUAGGGUUUUCUAAAAACUCCCGUAUAUUAUAUAUAGGAAUAUAAUCCUAUUCCUAAUAAUAUAAUGACAAUUAAGGAUAAGAAUAAAUCUAGAUUUAAAUUUAUCUUUUCCUUAAUUGGUUAGAUCGAUCAAAUCCUAAUUUGAUUCGACUUGAAUUUUAUAUUAAUUUGAUCUUAUCAAAUUAAUAAUGCAAUAUUUGCACAUAAGUCCUCUUAUAAUUUACUAACUAUUAGUAAGUCCUCUCUAGUAACAUUUAUACUUUAAUACCACUAAUUUGUAAUAAUUACAAAUUAGUCCAAUUAUCAAUAUAUUGAUAAUUAGGUCCUCCGGCGAUUCAAUAAUCGCGAUCUAGCUAUCCGAUCAAUCACAACCUCUUAUGUGUGUGACCCCAUAGGUUCUAUUCUAUCUGGUAGUGAGAUAUAUUUUGAUCACUAUCAACAAUAUCACUGGAACUCUUUUCAGUGGAUCGAAACAAUUCCAACUCAGCCCAAUGAAAAUUAUCGAUCAUCUAGAUAAUUCUCAUGAGUCUCACAAUCCACCAGUGACGCCUAGCAGUAUGUAGUGGCAUUCAAGUAGAAUGGAAUACUGAAUGUAACCCCCGAGGUUUUGGAAGAAAUUAUCGAACUUUAGCCAAACCGACUACAAUAUGCGAAGAAGAUGGAUGGACAAGUUUCCGUUGGUAUUCCAACAUGAUUGGAAGGGUAAAAGUGAGUUCCAAAUGAGUUGGAAGGAUCUUGACAUCGUACGGCGCGAAAUAGAGCCGAAAAGAAGUGAAAACAGCAUUCUG